GUAUUACGUUUAAGCAGUAAAUUCCAGUUUUUUUCUUUUCUUUUCAGAUCUUAAUUUUCUUAAGAAUUGAAAUAUUACUUUGAUUUUUUAAAAAAAAUAAUCAAGGAAGAUUGAUGGCUACCACCCAUGUACCUGGGUUUCGCAGAGUAAACUCAAUGUAGAGUGGUGGCCCAUCAUCAAGUUCGACAAUAGCUUGCAGCUUUUCCGUACACUAUAGGCAAAGGUGUGGUGUGAUUUCCAGAUUGAAAGUUCACAUUUUUUUUUCCCUUCUCUUCCUCUUAUCUCUUUUUGGUGAGGGCAGUGGGCGUUGAGUUAUAUAUUCAACAGUAACUUUCCUCUUCUGAACUCUUCUUUGACAUUGAUGUGAACCAAAUAUGAUCUCAGAUCCAUCUCUUUCUUUUGGUGGAAUCAAAAGAUUCAUAAUUCUUAUUAGGAUCCUUUUUCAGCUUAGAAUGUAUUAAAUUCUGGAUAUCUGUCUAAGAUUGCAAGUUCUUGACAACGUUUCAAGAGCACUUGAACUUCGAGAUAUUGAAAUCGUCCAAAAUUAUUUUAAAAAUCUUAGAUUUAAUAUAUUUUUAACUCAAAUAUACUUCAAAAAAGCAGUUUCAUAUGUUCUACUGUGCAAAAUCAUCGAUAAAGAGUUGAACUCGACCACCUCUGGAAGAGUUGAUUUCUGUGCUCACCAUAGUUCAACACCAUUAUUAUACUGAGUAUGUAGGUGGAGGUAAAUUUGACCCCAAAAACAAAAAAAGAAAAAAGAAAAAAAAGAAAGCAGCUUCAAAAUGUGUGUGCGAGGGAGAGAAGAAGACGAGGGGGGGAUAGGGAAUCUAGGUUAGUUGAAAUGUCCGUGUAGUUGAAGCUUAUGUUUCCCUGUCUGAUGAUCAACUCGUCUCUAUAGGAAAAGCUGUAUCGUCUUCCUCCUCCUUUCCCAAUCCUAAUCAAGAUAAAAUCAGAGAAAGGUCAGAUUUCAGCAGAUGUUGUAUGGACAAAGACCCCCAUUUUCUUUCUUUUUUUAUUUUUAUAGGAAUUAAUCGAAGGCAAGUAGCCGGAAAGCUGUUUCAGAUAAGGACAGAAAGUGAAAGACUCCGUCAAUGGAAGUAUUAAGAAGAAGCUAAAUGCUGCGGCUGCUGCUGUAUCCAGCUUGUGGGAAAACAAAGCAUACCCGUUUUCAGAUAUCCAUCCCUCCACUUUAAUUUUGCAUUGAAGUUUCAUUCUUUGUCAUGAAGUUCCUUUCUUUGUAUAUCAUUUAUAGUGGGAAAAGAUUAGGAAAAGGUAUGGAGAGUUGUGGUGUAGGCAAUUCUGGUGAAAUCUAUAGGAAUUCUUCUUUAGGAAGCAGCAGUAAUAUUAGUAAUGGUGGUGAUGAUGCCGGUGGUGGUGGCGGCGGCAACAAUUCAAGACGUUAAGGAAUCAAUAUAGCAGCAUCAAAUUUGACACAUGCUCCAUUAACAACCCUUUUGGAAUACUCGGGUAUCCUAGGGGGAAACAACUCCAUUUUUUCUCAAGAAAGGGAGCAUUUGAUUCCUUCUCCAUCUACUGCUGCUGGUGGUGGUGGUCACCAAGAGGUUACAAUUAGGAUAAUCGGCUCUGCAGAGAAUGAUCGUGAUGAUGAAUCCAAUGCUUCUCCAAAUGUUUAGGAAUUACCAUAUGGUCAACGAGAUGGGGUUAUGGAAAGCAAUGUGAAUUCUGUAAGCACUGUUUCUGAUGGGUCUGAUGGGUCUGAUGGGUCUUCUGGGAUUGACAUAGAUUCAUCAUUACCGUCGUCGUCGUCGUCGUUAUCUUCUUAUCAGAGAUAUGAUAUCCAGAACUUACAUCAUCGAAUUUUAAAUUUCUAUAUGCAUAUGCUUACAAUUUUCUCCUGCCUUACGUAUCAUUUUACAUAUAUCUCAAGUCUUUUACUUUUACAGGGUCAAAUGCCAACUCUGGUGGAGUAUUUGCUGAUAUUAAUGAGCGUGUUUGGUGGUAGGGUAGUAGUGGUUGUUUUUUAAAUAGUUUUUCGUAUUGAAAUACAUAUUAAUGAUGUUUUUUCAUUUUUUAAAAAUUAUUUUUGACAUCAGCACAUUAAAACGAUCCAAAAAGUAUAAACCACAUUCAAUUUUAAUAAAAAAAAUAAUUAAAAUUUGAUUAAAUACAGGUUGAACUACAUAGCCAAACAGAUUGUACCGUGUGUGUUGUCAACACCUGUUUGGUAUCUUUUCUUUUUAAACAAAGAAUAGGGAAGCUUUUUUUCAUCAUUAAUCACAGGGUUAUAUUUAACCGUCAAGCUUACAACAGUUCUAUGGAAGGUAUGCUCUCAUUUAUGUAAUCUGCUAUAUUUCCAGUACCAUACUAAAACCAUAGUUUAUUGACAUCUUCUUGAUCACUUUCGCACCUGGGUUCAACUAUUCUUUACUGCAUGGCGGACCUUGCCACUUAAAGAAAUGUACUAUGGUUCUUAUGCCACAUCUGAACAGGUUUGAUCGAGAAAGGACGUGUCCAUUAUGCAGAGCAUUGAUCAAACCAGCAGAUAUCAAAUCAUACAGUGAUGGAUCAACCAGUUUGUUUUUCCAGAUAUUCUCAGAUAUGAUGCUUGCUCUUAAGCUAGAGCCACUUCCACCUUUCAAAGCCAUAGGCCUCCUCCUUUUCACAGAUACAGUGCACAUGUGUCAUCAGUAAAUAUUAGUGGACAUUUUUCUUUCUUUCUUUCUUUGUUUGUUUGUUUUUUUUUUCUUUCUUUUUGAAGCACUGCUGAGUGCUGACAGUUCACUCCACAUGAAUGUUGACAUCCUCCUAUUUAUUGCAAUCCAGAGGUUAGAUAGAUC